UCUCCCUCUACAGGCCGAAGCCACCGUCCUCCUCUCUCUUUAGUCUUUUACAUAAGAUUUCCCUCUUCUCUCUCUCCGAGGGGCCUCUUUCUCAGAAAUUCUCACGCCCUCGUGUGGGUGUCGCUCUCGUCUCCUCUCUCCAUCCCUUCCCGCCCGUCUUCUUUCCCCUCAUCUGCGACUCUCUAUCUCUCCUCCGUCCAAAACCCUUUUUGUUUCCUUCUGUAUUUCGUCUCCAAGAUCGCUUCUUUUCGUUCUGUGUCUGUGUUUCCUCUUCAAAAGCCAAUCUUUCCUUCCUGUGUAUGGGAUCAUCUCAGCAGUUGGAGGAGUAGAUCGGAUGAUGGGGAAGGACAUGAGGAAGGCCAAGAUCAGUGGAGCGGUGGCGGUCAUGGAGGUCCCCAACCAGUCUUCCGUGGGGGUCCGCACCCGGGCCAGAACCCUAGCCCUCCAGCGCCUCCAGAAGCCCACCGCGGACCCAGCCUCCUACCUCGAACUCCGAAGCCGCCGCCUCGAAAAGCCCUUCGUGGCCACCGCCGCUAGGGCUAAGGAGGUCUGUAAGGAGAAACCGAGCCCUAGCCCAAAAUCCAGCUCCAACGCUAGCUCUAAAGGGAGCACCAGCCCUGGCGGCCAGCUGGCGGAGGGCCUGGUGAAUUCGGGCUCGGCGGGGUCGGUGUCGGCGAGGAGCUGCUGCUUGAAGAAGGGAGAUGCCUCGCCGGAGAUCGAGGUUUCCUACAGGGAUAAUUUUCUCGAGCACGAAUCUGGCAGGAAUGCCAGAGAGACCACACCUUGCAGUUUGAUAAGGGAACCUGAAUCUAUAGAGGCCCCCAGUUCUACAAACAAACCGACCAAAUCAACUGGCAACAGCAGGAGGGCGAGGAACUCAACGGGCAGAGACACCCUGGCUGCCCUGGAAUUGGAAGAAUUUUUUGCUGGAGCUGAGCAACCCCAACAAAGACAAUUUGCAGAGAAGUAUAAUUAUGAUCCUGUAACUGAUCAGCCGCUCCCUGGCCGAUACGAAUGGAUGAAACUGGACUAAUGGACGUGGAAGCUGAUCCUAUAUCUUCAACUUCCCAUUCAUCAAUGCCCAGAACUUUCAAAGGAAGAUGCAAAGACGAAACAAAGUGCAAGGAGAACAAUUCUUAGUCUAAUCCCUGUAACAGAUGGAACUUAUCAGCUAGAACUAGCAGGGUAUCAAUCCGGUCUGGUGUCAGAGGUUUUAACCGAUGGUUACUCUUAUCGUUCAAGUUCUUGGAUUACAAGUUUGAGGCGGCGAAGGCUUUUUGUUUUUUCGUGAUCAGGGACAUAAGGGCAGACAGAGCAUAUUUGGCUGUUCGACUGUGGGAGCAGAGCUGUAGGCUGCUUGGGAGGGCGUUUUGUAUGCGAGACGAGUGUUGAGGGCCGACAUACUUAUUCUCGAGGAUGAUUGUUCUACAGUGAUUGACUGGAUACGAGGUGUAGACACGUAUGUGGACGGUCACCAUCUGAUACGGGACACUUAUAGUUUGGUGCAGGAGCUGAUCUUCUGUCAGAUGACCCAUGCUUACCGAGAGGCGAACAGUGCAGCAAACUGGAUCGUCUCUUAUGUCGCCCGGCACACUGGGGAGGUCUUCUGGUUUAGUUUAGAUGGCGUUUUACACGUCUUAUUUUGUUUACUAUGUCUCGCUGUAUUCACGUUAGAGGUAUAUGAAAUGAAAUA